rnacentral:rRNA from 1 species
CGUCUGGAAAGUCGCGCGAUACAGGGUGACAGCCCCGUACACAAAAGCGCAUGUGUUGUGAGCUCGAUGAGUAGGGCGGGACACGUGGUAUCCUGUCUGAAUAUGGGGGGACCAUCCUCCAAGGCUAAAUACUCCUGACUGACCGAUAGUGAACCAGUACCGUGAGGGAAAGGCGAAAAGAACCCCGGCGAGGGGAGUGAAAAAGAACCUGAAACCGUGUACGUACAAGCAGUGGGAGCACCCUUCGGGGUGUGACUGCGUACCUUUUGUAUAAUGGGUCAGCGACUUAUAUUCUGUAGCAAGGUUAACCGAAUAGGGGAGCCGGAGGGAAACCGAGUCUUAAUUGGGCGUUAAGUUGCAGGGUAUAGACCCGAAACCCGGUGAUCUAGCCAUGGGCAGGUUGAAGGUUGGGUAACACUAACUGGAGGACCGAACCGACUAAUGUUGAAAAAUUAGCGGAUGACCUGUGGCUGGGGGUGAAAGGCCAAUCAAACCGGGAGAUAGCUGGUUCUCCCCGAAAGCUAUUUAGGUAGCGCCUCGUGAAUUCAUCUCCGGGGGUAGAGCACUGUUUCGGCUAGGGGGCCAUCCCGGCUUACCAACCCGAUGCAAACUGCGAAUACCGGAGAAUGUUAUCACGGGAGACACACGGCGGGUGCUAACGUCCGUCGUGAAGAGGGAAACAACCCAGACCGCCAGCUAAGGUCCCAAAGUCAUGGUUAAGUGGGAAACGAUGUGGGAAGGCCCAGACAGCCAGGAUGUUGGCUUAGAAGCAGCCAUCAUUUAAAGAAAGCGUAAUAGCUCACUGGUCGAGUCGGCCUGCGCGGAAGAUGUAACGGGGCUAAACCAUGCACCGAAGCUGCGGCAGCGACACUGUGUGUUGUUGGGUAGGGGAGCGUUCUGUAAGCCUGUGAAGGUGUGUCGUGAGGCAUGCUGGAGGUAUCAGAAGUGCGAAUGCUGACAUAAGUAACGAUAAAGCGGGUGAAAAGCCCGCUCGCCGGAAGACCAAGGGUUCCUGUCCAACGUUAAUCGGGGCAGGGUGAGUCGACCCCUAAGGCGAGGCCGAAAGGCGUAGUCGAUGGGAAACGGGUUAAUAUUCCCGUACUUGGUGUUACUGCGAAGGGGGGACGGAGAAGGCUAUGUUGGCCGGGCGACGGUUGUCCCGGUUUAAGCGUGUAGGUGUGUGUUCCAGGUAAAUCCGGUUCACUUUAACACUGAGGCGUGACGACGAGGCACUACGGUGCUGAAGCAACAAAUGCCCUGCUUCCAGGAAAAGCCUCUAAGCAUCAGGUAACAUCAAAUCGUACCCCAAACCGACACAGGUGGUCAGGUAGAGAAUACCAAGGCGCUUGAGAGAACUCGGGUGAAGGAACUAGGCAAAAUGGUGCCGUAACUUCGGGAGAAGGCACGCUGACACGUAGGUGAAGUGAUUUACUCAUGGAGCUGAAGUCAGUCGAAGAUACCAGCUGGCUGCAACUGUUUAUUAAAAACACAGCACUGUGCAAACACGAAAGUGGACGUAUACGGUGUGACGCCUGCCCGGUGCCGGAAGGUUAAUUGAUGGGGUCAGCGCAAGCGAAGCUCCUGAUCGAAGCCCCGGUAAACGGCGGCCGUAACUAUAACGGUCCUAAGGUAGCGAAAUUCCUUGUCGGGUAAGUUCCGACCUGCACGAAUGGCGUAAUGAUGGCCAGGCUGUCUCCACCCGAGACUCAGUGAAAUUGAACUCGCUGUGAAGAUGCAGUGUACCCGCGGCAAGACGGAAAGACCCCGUGAACCUUUACUAUAGCUUGACACUGAACAUUGAGCCUUGAUGUGUAGGAUAGGUGGGAGGCUUUGAAGCGUGGACGCCAGUCUGCGUGGAGCCGACCUUGAAAUACCACCCUUUAAUGUUUGAUGUUCUAACGUGGACCCGU